rnacentral:rRNA from 1 species
UUAGAGUUUGAUCCUGGCUCAGGAUGAACGCUAGCGGCAGGCUUAACACAUGCAAGUCGAGGGGCAGCGAGGGUAAUAGCAAUAUUACCUGUCGGCGACCGGCGCACGGGUGCGUAACGCGUAUGCAACCUACCAUCAACAGGGGGAUAACACUGAGAAAUUGGUACUAAUACCCCAUAAUAUCUCAUGCGGCAUCGCAUGGGGUUGAAAACUCCGGUGGUUGAUGAUGGGCAUGCGUUGGAUUAGCUGGUUGGUGAGGUAACGGCUCACCAAGGCGACGAUACAUAGGGGGACUGAGAGGUUAACCCCCCACAUUGGUACUGAGACACGGACCAAACUCCUACGGGAGGCAGCAGUGAGGAAUAUUGGUCAAUGGACGCAAGUCUGAACCAGCCAUGCCGCGUGCAGGAUGACGGCUCUAUGAGUUGUAAACUGCUUUUGUACGAGGGUAAACCCCGAUACGUGUAUUGGGUUGAAAGUAUCGUACGAAUAAGGAUCGGCUAACUCCGUGCCAGCAGCCGCGGUAAUACGGAGGAUCCGAGCGUUAUCCGGAUUUAUUGGGUUUAAAGGGUGCGUAGGCGGUUUGAUAAGUUAGAGGUGAAAUGUCGGGGCUCAACCCCGAAACUGCCUCUAAUACUGUUGGACUAGAGAAUAGUUGCGGUAGGCGGAAUGUAUGGUGUAGCGGUGAAAUGCUUAGAGAUCAUACAGAACACCGAUUGCGAAGGCAGCUUACCAAACUAUAUCUGACGUUGAGGCACGAAAGCGUGGGUAGCAAACAGGAUUAGAUACCCUGGUAGUCCACGCAGUAAGCGAUGAUAACUCGUUGUCGGCGAUACACAGUCGGUGACUAAGCGAAAGCGAUAAGUUAUCCACCUGGGGAGUACGUUCGCAAGAAUGAAACUCAAAGGAAUUGACGGGGGCCCGCACAAGCGGAGGAACAUGUGGUUUAAUUCGAUGAUACGCGAGGAACCUUACCCGGGCUUGAAAGUUAGCGACGACGCUUGAAAGAGCGUUUCCCUUCGGGGCGCGAAACUAGGUGCUGCAUGGUUGUCGUCAGCUCGUGCCGUGAGGUGUCGGGUUAAGUCCCAUAACGAGCGCAACCCCUACUGUUAGUUGCCAUCAGGUGAUGCUGGGCACUCUAGCGGGACUGCCGGUGUAAGCCGAGAGGAAGGUGGGGAUGACGUCAAAUCAGCACGGCCCUUACGUCCGGGGCCACACACGUGUUACAAUGGUAGGUACAGAGGGCAGCUACCCUGCGAAGGGGUGCGAAUCUCGAAAGCCUAUCUCAGUUCGGAUUGGAGGCUGAAACCCGCCUCCAUGAAGUUGGAUUCGCUAGUAAUCGCGCAUCAGCCAUGGCGCGGUGAAUACGUUCCCGGGCCUUGCACACACCGCCCGUCA